rnacentral:rRNA from 1 species
UACAGAGGGUGCGAGCGUUAAUCGGAUUUACUGGGCGUAAAGGGUGCGUAGGUGGUAAAGCAAGUAAGAUGUGAAAGCCCUGGGCUUAACCUGGGAAGUGCAUCUUAAACUGCUUAACUAGAGUAUGGUAGAGGGUAGUGGAAUUUCCGGUGUAGCGGUGAAAUGCGUAGAGAUCGGAAGGAACGCCAGUGGUGAAGACGACUACCUGGACCAAUACUGACACUGAGGUACGAAAGCGUGGGGAUCAAACAGG